GAGUUGUGCAUAUAGAUGGCUUUCUAUACUUUGAUUGCAAACCAAAAGAAAAAUGGGUUCGAUUCCCACGUAACUCU
rnacentral:tRNA from 1 species